AAAUAACUGAAAGAGUCACAAUUAGGGCAUACACUUGCCAUCUGAUAAGGUACAUAGUCAUACAGUCGUACAUUAUUCAAAACAUGGAAUGGUCCGACUACGGACAAUAUAAACGACAAAAGCUAUGAUAUCCGGCAUGCUAGGACCACGAUCACGACCACGGCCUCUUGUCCUUCGGAUAAGUCACAUACAGCCUGCCGCUGUCCUCAUCGAACUCCCACUUCAGCUGGUUGUCAUCGGGAACUCCUGCAUCAAGGGUACCUGUACCUGUGGGUGUUUGUAGUAAACCGUGAGCCACGAGGAAUCAGCAAUCUCAUGACCUUGGUAUCGAGUCUAACUAAGUUAAAUGGGUGAGGUAGGUUAAGUGUUUGAGUUUGCAGCACCCUAAGCAUAUAUGGUGGCUAUCUUACAAAGAACAGAAUUAACAUAUGGUGGACUACGUAAGACGGUCGAAGACUAGGUUGAUCACUAAGUGAUCCUGAACACCUACUUACGUCAUUCAUAACCCAACAGUGUUCUCGAUCAGAGAAGGAGCUCUGAAAGAGAUAAUCACGAUUACGCACUCUGUUGGCAAGUUUUAUUUGAAUUACUUUAAGUUGUCUAGAAUCGGAUGUUAACAAAAUAUCCAUGUUUUCCACAUAACCACAGGCACGGCUUUCUGAAAGAUUAAACCCUGCAGGGGUGCUCCAACUAGUCCAUCACGAAUUACCACAAGCCACAUAGUAAUCCUCUAUCACGAAACUCGUGAUUUUGUCGGAUUCCUUAGAGGAAAACCUCAACUCUCAGAAGAUCCAAAGUCUAACCGGAAUCCCAAUGCGCAAGAUAUAUCGUUAAGGUAAGACAAGUCCAGCAAGACCGCCCGACGUGUCGACGACCCUGAUAAGAGCCACAUAUCUCAGUCUCAUGACAUGAGGAUGGGAAAGCCUACAUGAAACUAGACCUCGAGUUUCCUUGCGGUGGCCCGGCAGUCUGCCCAUUUUGGACCAACACUCAUGAGGAACACUGGCCCGGGGGGUUGAUUAACUUCCUCGGGGUAGCUAUUCCCUAUGCAUUUAAUUAUUAAGUUAUUAGCAAAUUAACACCAAAGUUGGGUCCUACCAAACAAGUCUUAACACUAUACGAUUUAUCGAGGGGUCCCCAUAACAAUCCCGAACGUGUUAGGAGCGCUCAGUUAUGAAAUAAAACACCGGCAGCCGAAACUAAGGCGGCAACAACGGAACAAAUCACCCGGCAAAAGGCUAGGCCUUCCGUUAUUUACCAAGUAUAUAGGUGAAUUGAUUAAAUAGAAAUUGAAUAUAAUGAUAUCAAAUUGCCCAUGUUAUCACAUGGACCAGUGGCACCUAUAACUAGCAACGCUAACAAUUAGUGGUUGAGCAAGCCUUACUUAGCCAAACAAUAUUUGCUAGGAGGGAGGUGUUUGAGGUAGCAUGGCAAUGUUUGAUGGCCUAUAUAUCAUGUGGUAGGCAGCGGAGAUGUAACGAAGGAAACAUAACUCUAAGCAUAACAAAGCUAGAAACGGUGUCAAGGUCACGAUCAUCUUGCGUGUGAUUUCUUCAGACUGGAACUGCUCUUUUUCUUCCUGCAUGAACUCUCCGGACUCCUCGAACUCGUUUCCGGCCCUGGUAACUACCCAAAAGAAACAGACAUCUAAUAUACACCAGCAAAAAAUAAUGCAACAGACAAUAUGAUGCAUGUAUGCACUGCUCCAAACAAGCACAUAAAAUAACCCUGCAUCGAUAAAACUAUUGCCACCUCACCACAAGGGGUCUUUCUACAGGAAUGCUCGAAAUCAGAAACCAACAACACCAUUGGAUUCAUUGGGAUUUUCUACCCCAAAUCCAUAUACCAUAGUGCCACCUUUGCAUACAAAAGAACUCCACAAACAGCAAAAUAAAAUCUACACAUGAUCAAAACUACAUAUACUCAAGAACAUGAACUGUUCUUGAGCCAGCCCAAAUAGGCAAGUCCAAAUCUGGACAUUUCUAGAAAUGGAAAUAUGCCCUAUUUAGCACAAGGAAACUCACAAACAAAAUACCCCCCCCCGAAAUAACAGGAAAAUAUAUUAUGAGGAGGGGACCCACCUAGCAGUGGCCCCUCACAGGAUGACAUGUGGGUCCAGAGGGGCCACUGUCAUACACACACAACAACUAAUACACACGCAAGAAAAUAAAAAGAUGUCAGUGGGGAAUCGAACACACCACCUCUGUGGUGGAGUUAGCUGCCCCCACCACCGGGUAGCUACUGCUAGCUGCUCUAAUAGGGGCAUCCUACCAGGUAAGGCUAUACUACAGCUAAUCUACCAUACGAAGGAAAAAUAGGGGAAUUAAAAGAGGGGUUAACGGAACUGCUCGAGGAAAAAAAUGGGGAGCGGCUCUCUCGCCUGCCCCGCCUUGGUGCAGGCUCCCGACGCAACCUCGACGGCGGCCUCCGUGCAUGCCCCCUCCACAAUCUCCUCGGUGGCCUCCGCGCUGCGGAUCAUUGAUGAGGCAUCGGGGCGGGUGCUGCCCUGCAUCGCCCUCUGGGAGGAGAUUGUGGAUCCGCUCACAGGAUUCGUAGAUCCGGUCUUGGUGCGCGUCCUCCCAUGUGUGGCAUUGAUGGCUAUGGAGGAAUCACCAGCUGCCGACGUAAGUGCCUCCCCCUCGCACCUUUCCUCUCCUAGGCGGUCUUCUUCCUGGCAGCCGGCUUUGCCAGAGCCUCUCCUCCGUUCUGGGGCGGAUCUGGCCGGCCCUUCAAGACCCAGCCUCUGCCCGACCUUGAUGGCGCUGAGAGAGGGGGAGCCUGCUCGCGGGCAGGCUAGCGCGGGUGCGCCUUCAAGGCGCGAGCACUCUCCCCGAGCCGGGGCGGAUCUGGUCGGCUCGUCCAAGCCUAGGCUGUGCUCCAUCAUCGUCGCGCCCAUAGAGAAGGUGUUGACCGGUGGACAGGCACGCGCGGAUGUGCCUUCAAGGUCCGGGCCCUGCGGCUCGCCUGCCACGCCCGGCCAUGCUUCUGGUCAUGACUGGAAGCUGGUGCACUCUCGUCGUGGCCGGCGCCUAGCUAGGCGCCAGGAGGAUCUCCCUCCUCUGCUGUCAAAGGAUCUCAUUCGCCAUGCUCUCUCUCCUGCGGAAGCAUUCAAGACGCGAUUUGGGAAUCGCUGCUACAAAUGCCUUGCCUCUAGGCACAUAUCCUUCCAGUGCUGAGACCCCCAAAUCUGUUACACCUGCAAGCGGACGGGUCAUUUGGAGCGUCAGUGCCCAGCUCGCUGUCCAAAAGGCUUGGCCCCGCUGCUGCCUCCUGCCCCUCCUACGCCGACGUCGUCACCUCUGCGGGCCCUCCCUCCGUUCCUCGGGUGAUGAUGGUUGGCGGGAUAAUCCCGGGCGUGGCGCACCGCAGGCCGGCCACUUCGACUUGCUCGGUGGUCAGUACCCCAAAGAUGGAGGAUGAGGCGUACCGCCUGCGCACCAUGGCGCUGCUGCUCACCGUCAUGGGUCCAUGCUCGGGCAUCACCGCGGACAUGGUGGCGGAAGUUGUGGAGCACGGGCAGGGGUUCCCACGGCGGGACAUCUGUGUCGCCUCCUGCUUCCAGGAGGAUUUCCUGCUUGUCCUGUCGGAGUGUCACCAGCACGACCUAGUCUUCGAGCGACGCCAGCUGGUGGCUGCCGGAGUUAAGCUGCUGCUCAGGCCCUGGUUUCCGCCUCCGGGUGGGAACAGGGUAUGGAGGUUCUACUGCAGGGUUGCAAUCGAAGGGCUGCCUCUGAAUGCGUAGUCUUGGGACAAUGUUCAAGAGGUGAUUGGCAAGAAAUGCAGGCUUGAUCUCAUUGAGCGGCAAUCAACCACCAAGACCAACGUCUCGGCCCUCUUUGCUUGGUUAUGGGCUUGGGACCCGAACCUGAUCCCUAGGGCGUCUGAUUUCAACGUCAUCAGCCGUCGAGACGUUGCUCGGUCGAGAAGAUCGCUACCGGAGGGUACGCCCUCGGAGCAAGGAAGAGAGGGCCCUCACUUCCCGGUGCUCAUCCACCUAGAUGUGGUAAAGGACUACACACCGGUGGAGGACGAGGAUCUGGAGUGGCCUAGGAUCUAUGAGCACAAAGAUUGGAAGAUGGGCUCCAAGGAUGGAGAGCGCAGGGCCCGUGCUGCUGUUUCAGAUGGUUAUGCACCCCCUGCACGCCGCAAUGAUGAUGAUGCUGAUGACAGAUACAAUGGUGGCGCCAGGCGACGGGGUAAACGCAGUGGUGCGUGCGAUGGUUUCUGGCAGGGCAUGCGGGACAGGGCAAACCGUCGGGAUGCCACGGCGCGUGCACCGGCUCCAAGGAGAUACACGCGCCAUGAUGGUGCUGCGGCCUUGAAGGCUCGUGUCCUUGGCCCUCCCACGGUUGCAAAGCAGCUACUGGCAACUAUAGAGGAAGCACCCGCAGCGCUCCAGCUCGUGGCCGCUACUGAGGAACCCACUGCAGUGCAUCAGUAGCAAGACCAGACCAAAGUAUUUGCCAACCCUUCGCUGCAAACAGUUCAGACAGUUGGGUCAAAGGACCACGGCUUGCAACACGAACCUGAAGACAAUAUCAUUGAUGCACUCAGUGUGACAAAUGCCCUUGUUGGCCAAGUAGACCAUGCCGUAUCGCCAGGAUCCGUCGGCUCUGAUCAUCAACAGACGUGAGAGGAUGUGCAAGGGGAAGGUACUGAUGCCCAGUGGAUACCUCCUGGUUAGCUACUGUCGCUUUACUCGCCACCAAGGCCAUCGCAGGUUCAAUAUGACAGUCUCUCGGGUUGGAACAGCCUCUUCGACGGUCGUGCGGCUACUUUCAGCUCCGUUAGGCCAAGCAACCUGCCCAACCCUGAGAAUCGAUGCUACGAGCUCCCACCGCUGCCGCCUUCGCCGGAGUCCGCGGUAUGGGAGUGGCCGGUUCUGCAACAACCUUUGUCGGCGCAGGGAUGGAUGAGGCCUGUCCAAAGCGAAGCUCCAUGCUGGCUGCCAGGGUGCGACAUGAGCCUCUUCCACGCACCGCAGGCUCACCUCUCUUGGGCGACGAGGCCACAGGUGGUGUUAGGCCCUGCUGCUGCUAGCUGCAACUUUCAGAUCACAGGCCCCCAUAUACAGUCCGAGGAAGAAGUGCGCGCGAGACGGGCACUCGCGGAUGCCAACCUAUCUGGCCCUGGCCUGGUUAAUGCUAUCACCCAGAGGGUGCCCUCGCUUCAGAUUGACGACCAAAGGGCAUUCAUCGGCAAGAUUGCCUCAUUGCUGUCGGCAGCCAUCCUCACCACGCCGCCGCACGCCAUCUCAGCCCGUCACAAGCUGAAGAAGAAGCUGCUGGGCGCAGUAAAAGCUCCAAGGCAGAGUGUGCGCCUUUCGCGGAUGCAGUCCAAUUUCUCGUCUUCAAGGAGGUCGCAGGCUGCCAUUUGUGUCCAGUUGGGUUUCAUCAAGCGGGAGGCUGAUUUCAACGACAACACGCUUAUAUCAUAUCUGAACUUCUUCCGCGAGCCAAUGCCAAUGGAGAAUGUAGCAAAGCUGGUGCAGAUUGCAGGGCUAUCAUCUCCCUCCCAGCUGCACCUGCCGGAAGCUGAGGUCCAAGCCAUCCUCGACGAGCUCCCUGUCGGAGCUAUUUGACGCCUCUUCCAGGGUCGGACUCAUGUUGCUUCUCUAGUUUUUAUGAUUAGCUCUCCCCUUAGUCGUCGAACUAUGUUGUUGGUUGCACGCCUUUGCUACGCCGGGUGCCUUGAACAUUGCUACUUUCUACUCUUAUCGUUGUUGGCUGCGUGCAGUUGCCGCGCCUUCUACCCAGUCCAGGACAGAUGUAUGUGUUUGCUCGCUGGGCACUGCCAUAUUGAUCCGUUAUGCUGUUAUGUUUCGGUUUCCAAUGAAUGACAAUCUUGCUAUUUUCAAUUGGAAUGUAAGAGGACUGAACGGCACAGCUAGACGAGCUACCUCUCGAGCGAUCAUUGAUCGGCUUGGCUGCUCUAUCAUCUGCCUGCAGGAGACAAAGCUUUCUUCCUGUUCGGCUGUCGAUCGCCUAGAGAUCGUCGGACAGCGUUUUGAUCAGCACGCAACGCUGGAUGCCGACGGCACACGCGGUGGGAUCAUGAUGUGCUCGAACUCCGAUAGGCUGACCGCCAGCACGGUAACGGUACGAUCGUACUCGGUAACGGUGUGUUUCACCCCAGUGGAGGGGGCAGCCUGGUCGCUGACUACGGUCUACAGCCCCCAUGAUGAUCAGCGGAAAAACGACUUCCUAUCUGAGCUAGCCUAUAUUCACAAUUCCCUGUCCGGUCCGUGGCUUCUCAUAGGAGAUUUCAAUCUCAUCACGAACCCGCAAGAUAAAAACAACCCGAGAGUGUGCCGCCGUUGGAUGCUCAAAUUCCGUCGUACGCUAAACUCCACUAGCCUGCAUGAGAUACCGCUAAUUGGGCGCAAAUUCACUUGGAGUAACGAGCAGGGUGUACCUACUCUGGUACGCCUGGACCGCGCCUUGUGCAACGUCGAAUGGGAGCUCAUCUUCACUGCUGCCAAGCUGCUACCUCAAUCUUCUGCCAUCUCCGACCAUUGCCCGUUACUUCUGCUCAAUGACGGACUAGUCAAAACAAAUAAGCGUUUUCGCUUUGAAUCCUACUGGCAAUUCAUACAUGGUUUCAAGCAGGUUGUGGAUCAGUCCUGGGCUGCACAUGCGGACAAUGCAUGCCCCCUUACGAAGCUGAACCACAAGCUUUGGAGGAUUAGUAAGGCCUUGCGAGCUUGGAGCAGAAAUAUUGUUGGCGACCUGCAAAGACACUUAUCUAUAGUCACCGAGCUCAUACUACAGCUAGACCGAGUACACGAACUAAGAUCACUCUCCCAAGAUGAGAGAGACCUGCGCUCCAGGCUAAAAGCACGUACUUUAGGACUAGCGUUCCUUCUCAAGAUUAAGCUGCGGCAAAGAAGCAAGGUCCUCUGGCUGAAGGCGGGCGAUGCCAACACAAAUUUUUUCCAACGGAAGGCAAAUGCGCGGCACACAAAAAACACAAUCCAUGCGCUACAGGGCCCAAAUGGACUGGUCUUGUCAAUACAGGGCAUGGCCGAUAUGGCAAACAACCAUUUUACCAAUAUCUUCGGCCGCCUAAAGCAACGCACAGCUGCGCUUAACUCGGAUGAAUUAGACAUCGAGCAAGUGGAUUUAAUGGAUCUUGAGCAGGAGUUUUCGCUGGAUGAGAUCAAGACUGCCAUAAAUGAGACUCCGGCUGAUAAGGCACCAGGGUCGAAUGGUUUUUCGGGUGGGUUCUAUAGAGCAUGCUGGGAAACAAUCAAGCACGAUCUCCUCGCGGCGCUGAAUCAGUUAUUCAGGAUGGAUAGUAGUGGUCUACACAGAGUCAACCAGGCGCUGCUCGUCCUCAUCCCCAAGAAAAUGGGGGCGGAUGCGCUGCAAGACUUCAGGCCAAUUUCGCUGCUCCACAGUGUGAUAAAAAUCUUCUCCAAGAUUCUUGCUUCGAGACUAGCCCCAAAAAUUAAUCUGCUUGUGGACAAUUGUCAAAGUGCUUUCAUCAAAUCGCGCAACAUUCAAGAGAACUUCCUGCACGUACAGAACUCUGCGAGAUUCUUUCAUAAAUCAAAGAAACCGACUGUCCUGCUAAAACUUGAUAUUGCCAAGGCCUUCGACUCGGUUUUCUGGGCCUACCUGUUGGAUAUGCUGCAAGCAAGGGGGUUUGGUAGGCGCUGGAUGGAAUGGAUUGCUAUGCUUCUAAGAACCUCUACAUCACGUGUUUUGAUUAAUGGGGAGCUGUCGGAGAUCUUAAACCGUAGGCGUGGACUCAGACAAGGAGACCCGUUGUCCCCUUUCCUUUUCAUCCUAGCCAUGGACCCGCUUCAGAGGAUGAUGUCCAUCGCCACCGAGCAGGGGGCACUCUCAAAGUUGUCGGGAAGGAGAAGGGUUCCUCGCUGCUCCUUCUACACGAAUGAUGUAGUGUUGUUUAUGAACCCCUCGGAAAAUGACGCCAGGAUGAUCUCGCUGAUUCUCAACUGUUUUGGAUCAGCUACUGACCUCUUUACCAAUGCAGCCAAGAGCUCGGCUCUUCCGAUUCGAUGUGGCAACUUGGACCUCGUGCGCAUAUUGUCCCAUCUUAGCUUUCCUAUCAAAUCAUUUCCUGUGGUUUAUCUGGGAAUGCCCUUAUCCCUUCGCAACCUGACAAAGUUAGAGCUAGAUCCUCUGGUUUCCAAGUUUGGAAACAAGGCAGGAACCUGGAAAGGUAGGCUUAUGGCGAAGAGUGGAAGACUUGUGCUGCUAAAAACGGGUUUGUCCUCCCUUGCAAUCUACAUGAUGACGAUCCACAAAUUGCCUGCAUGGGUCCUGAAGCGCUUGACCCAGAUUUGUCGCUCAUGGCUUUGGAGUGGAGAUACUACUGCCAAUGCUGGGAAUUGUAGAGUUGCAUGGACUUUGAUCUGUCGGCCGAAAUGUCUGGUUGGCCUUGGCGUAGUGGACCUCAAGAAGUUUGGCAGGGCACUAAGGAUCCGUUGGCUAUGGAUGGCUUGGAAACACCCGGAGUGGCCUUGGGUGAGCACUCCUUUGCCUUGUUCACAGGAGGAGAAGGAGAUUUUUGCAAUGGCGACGGAGAUUAAGAUAGGAGACGGCAGAGCAACAAACUUCUGGCAGGACUGCUGGGUCGAAGGCGACUGCCCGAAGACGAUCGCUCCAUCCCUCUUCAAGAUUGCAGCACGGAAAAACCGGUCAGUUUGGGACGCUCUAAAGGACGAAAAGUGGCUACAAGACCUAUCGAUGGGGCUGCUGGAUGACAUGCUUCAUGAGCUAUCCCAGCUUGCGUCUCGGCUGGAUCGAGUUCUGCUUCAAGAGGGGCAACCGGAUGUUAUCAGCUGGAGAUUCUCUCGGGAUAGGGCAUACAGCGCGCGCUCGGCGUACCGGUUACAGUUCGAGGGGUCGGUUCACAUGCAUGGGCACAAACUGAUCUGGCGAUGAUGGGCACCGGGCAAAUGCAGGUUUCUAGUGUGGACGAUCAUGCUUGAUAGGCUACUGACGGCGGACGCUCUCCUGCGACGUGGAUGGGAAACCGACUAUCUCUACCCUAUCUGUGUAAGAAACCUGGAAACGUCGUCGCACCUCUUCAUUGACUGUCAGUGGUCAAGGUCCAUAUGAAACUCCAUCGCCUGUGUGAUGGCUAUGCCGGCCCUAUGCCUGGCAAGUUGGGAGAGGGAUUACAAGUUCUCUGCAUGGUUCAAGAGUCGAUACGCCAACACUGCAAACGAGAGGAAAAAGGGGCUGCUAUCACUUGUGCACCUCAUUACUUGGGAGAUUUGACGGGAAAGAAACAGGAGAGUUUUCAAACAAGAGUGCAUGACGGCGGAGGGCCUCGAGAUCAAGAUUAGAGAGGAGAUAAGACUGUGGAACUUGGCAGGAGCCGGCAUUCCUUUUGACCCAGGGUGAGGCGGUUUAUUACUUUCGUUGUCUUAGUAUUAGUUUUCUUGUUUGCCUCUUUUUUGGCUUCUUCUUUUCCCUCCCCCGCUUGGGCCAUGCACAUGUACUCUGUUCCCCCUGAUCAACGAAUUUGGCAAGCGCGGCCAGCAUUAAAAAAAAAAAGAGGGGUUGCAGUGAUUCGAACCAAAAGCAAACUGGGCCACAUCCGGCAAGGUGGGGCACCGGCGGGGUUGCAGGACUCCGAGGGGAAUCCAUUCCCGACGCAAGCACGCAAGAAGGGAACGCCGCAACGCCACAACUACUGGCUGCUGCUUCUGCUGCCUGCUACUGCUCACGCUACCAUGCAUAUGCCUGCUGCUGCGCACCCCCAUGCAGCUGCUGAUGCUGCGCCACCACGCAGCUGCUGUAGCCCGAAGCCGCUGCGCUGGCAUGGCUGCUACUGCCUGCAGGCUCCCCCCCUCUGCUUCGCCUACUGCUAUCAACUGAAGGUGCUGCUACUGUUGCUAAGUAAUAGAGGAGAGCACCGACAACUAUGCUCCUACUCGACGCGGGCACUAGAGAUGAAGGAGAAGACGGAGGGGAGCGGGGCUUCGGUCACCUAGCGGCAGAGAGCCGAUCCUACGCCGGAGAUGGAGAGGACGACGAGCCGGAGCGGAAUAAGACCCGCCGGAGUUGAAGAAGUUGCCACCGUCGUGGAUGUCGAGGUGGAGGUCCUGGCGCCGAUCUCUUCGCGAAAAUGGAACCCCCUGAGUGUCCUCUUGCUCCUGGUACUGGCGGACAGGAAGAAUACGUCGGAUCACCUCGGCCCCAAGCUCUUGCUCGAGCUGGCCAUGGCGGGAGCAGCUCGGGUUUCGCCCCCGGCGGCGCUAGGGAAGAGAGGAGGGAGAGAAAUGGAGGGCUAGGGUUGAGAGGAGGCUGGGGUUGCUCUUAUGGCGCUCGGGAGACGCACUAGCGCCAUCUGAU
rnacentral:lncRNA from 1 species